rnacentral:misc_RNA from 1 species
UGCUUCUCCUCUUCUGCCUGAAGAUCCCUAUAAGAAAGCCAAAGUUCGCUUCUGGGCUAGUUUUAUCCAGCAACAGUUGUUUGAGGCUAUGGGCAAAGUCAUGACGCAGGAUGGAGAAGCACAAGAGAAAGCUGCAGACGAAGUGUUUGAGAAAAUGAAAGCAUUGGAAGAGGGAAUGAGUGAAUUCUUUCCGGAGGGCAUUCAGGAUAUAGACGUCACAAAAAUUGGAUUAUUAGACAUCUUGAUGAGCAC